UAUAACGCAUGUGUGUAUGUAGUGCUCAAAUUAGAAAUUCACAACUAUUUUAUUUUUUUUUUUUUUGGCGAUAUUAAGUUUUUUCUGGUAUUGAGAUAUAUAGCUUAUAUCUUCUAGUUUGACAUAAGAUAUGAACAUGCGACUCAUUGUUUUAAGUCAAUAGGUAGUGGAAAUUUGCAAGUUUCGGCGUAUUAGAAACGAGUCUAAAAAAUUUAAGAAUUAGAAAAUACAAGGAAAAAGUUUAUUGUGAUUAUGUUGUAGAAAUUUAUAAUCACAAUAUUUGAAAAUUUUACAUAAUGUAUGUGAUAUAUUUGCUUACUUUAUGAAGCAAGUUAUUGCCUUGAUAUGAUCACAUUGGUUACAAUGGCCUUUUUGGUGACACUCGUUUCAUGUGUCAUUCGAAGCAGAUUUUGUGAUAAGAUUCACAACUCCUGAGCCCACACACAUUUUCAAUCAUUAUUAGCGCGUGCGAUUUCUUUUAUUUCUAAUAAUACGCAUCGUUCCUUUGGCGGCACAUUUGAUUGACAUUCUCGCCGUGCAUACAGACUCGUGAUCGCGGCCUUUCGCAAUCAUAUUUGGAGAGGAUUCUUUUGCGUGCUCCAUACUUAAAAAAUGAUGAUAGUUUUCCCUUUACAUACGGUUUUGACACUCGGCUGCUAAUAAGAUUACUCUACAAUUACCGGACGUUGCCCUCCAUACUGAACAUACAUGUUUAUAGAGAAAUGUUGAUAACAAUGAUAAGAGAAGACAAUUCUUGGGAAGCUGCAAUGCUGAAGAAACUUGACGAUUUGCUGCCGCAAUCUCCAACUCGAGCCAAAACACAUGGCAUGUUCUGAAGAUAUGCAGGAAAACGACUCGCCAUCGUGGCAUAAUCCUUGCGAAGCGAAGAUGAUUUUUAUGAUGACAGUUAAAUUAUACAAAAAAAAACAUUAAACCUGAAUCAAUUGGAAUCAUCACUCCGUACCUGAAACAAGGUAAACAUUUGCGAAAACUUUUUGAUGAUGCCGACGUAGCGGUGCCUAAAAUUGGUUCUGUGGAGGAAUUCCAAGGACAGAUAUAACCUUCGCAAAAUUACAGUUUGAAUUAAUACUGAUGUUGCUUUCGCCUGGUUUUUUUUAGGAACGCAAUAUAAUAUUAAUUUCAACAAUCAGGUCAAGCAAGGAGCAUAUACCUAGCGAUGUGCGGCAUGCAUUAGGCUUCAUUCAAAACGAGAAACGGAUUAACGUGGCGAUUAUAGUAUACGGCAACCCCGACCUACUCCUUUUGGACCGUCGUUGGCGCGCGAUCAUAAAAUACUGCGUCGAUAACGAUGCCUACCUUGGUCGCGAUUUGCCGGAAUUGUCUGUAACUUUUAUGUAGUAUGUAUAUAUAUACUUUAAUAGUUUAGUUUCUUGAUUUGAAUUACUUU